rnacentral:rRNA from 1 species
CCUACGGGGUGCAGCAGUGGGGAAUAUUGCGCAAUGGGGGCAACCCUGACGCAGCAACGCCGCGUGAUUGAAGAAGGCCUUCGGGUUGUUAAGAUCUUUAAUCGGGGACGUAUUUUGCCGGUUCCCGAAGAAUAAGCUCCGGCUAACUACGUGCCAGCCGCCGCGGUAAUACGGAGGGAGCGAGCGUUAUCCGGAUUUACUGGGUGUAAAGGGCGUGUAGGCGGGCAUGCAAGCCAGAAGUGAAAUCUGGGGGCUUAACCCCAAAACUGCUGUUGGAACUGCGUGUCUUGAGUGAUGGAGAGGCAGGCGGAAUUCGCAGUGUAGCGGUGAAAUGCGUAGAUAUUGGGAGGAACACCAGUGGCGAAGGCGGCCUGCUGGACAUUAACUGACGCUGAUGCGCGAAAGCGUGGGGAGCAAACAGGAUUAGAUACCCCGGUAGUC